AUCUUACAGUUUGCAUGGAAAGUGAUGAGGCUUUGAAGCAGAAACGUUAGUCAGAGGAUGGGUCUGUGCGCGUCGCGCAAACAGGGCAGCAGCAGCAGACUGGUGGAGAUGGUGAGUGGGUGAAACAGGAAGGCAGGAAGAAGUCACAGGUAAGGAAACAGUGACACAGAGGAUGGGUAGAGUGAGGCAGGCGACAGAGAGAAGAGGAAGCACACCUUGAGGAAGUUAACAAAACAAUAGAAGCUGAAGAACACGCACAUCAUACUGAAGAAUGGGAUUUGUGCAAUACUUUGUGGCAGCCCUGAUAUUAUCAGCCCUGUUAUCGACACAGCUGGUGCUCACCUCUCCAGCGAAGACCUACAUAGAUGGGUGCAGCCUGUGCCCAGCGGGUAAGUAUCGGAAGUCGUGUACAGAGUGUGCACCCUGUCCGCCUGGAACCUACACAGAUAAUAUAAACCGUGAAGACAGCUGCCAUCGCUGCUAUGGGGACUGUAAAUCGGUUUUCCACCUGAAAGUCAUUCAGAACUGCACCAGCACGUCUGACCUGAGGUGUGUCUGUGAGGUUGGGUACAGAUGCACAAAGUUUGUGACGUUCUCGGAGAACUGCAGAGAAUGUGACAAGAUCCAGGACGCAGCCAUAUCCAUAGAAACAGCAGUGACCUCCACCACAGAGAAGCAGGCGCCUCCCUCAGCUUCCCCCGGACAUAGCAGCAUUUCUCCCAAACUCUGCCCAUUCCCCAAGUGUAGCACUCAGCCAGAGCUGCCAGCAGAUAAUGGCACACAUCCCAAACCAGUCACUGAGAAGACAAGCUCUCCACUGGCAGCCAUUUUGUGUCCAGUUGCGGUCAUAGUAUGUGUGGCUCUUGUGGUCCUGUUCUGUGUCCAUCGCCCAGGAGAUGAAGCAUGUUUCAGGCAAACUAUUGCGAAGCUCUGUAAUAAGGAAGGUCAAGAUGUUUCUCAAAAGGAGUCAACUCAUCAGUUCCCUGGAGACUCAUUCAGUGCUAAGCAGCCAUCUUCAUCCCUACCAUCAGCCAGCCUGGGUCCAGUUUAUGUCCAUAAUCCAGGUACGGUCAUCUUCAGCCUGCUCAGCCAGUUCACAGGCCAAGUUGGUCUGACAACUGAAGGUGGGAAGACAACCGAGAGAAUGUCCAGUGAAGAAGAAGAUGAGAGAAACUGUCCCGUGGUUCAUCCUACAUCCCCUCACAGCAUUCAUCUCUCUGAGGAGGAGAGGAGCAGAGAGAUGGACAGCAUUUUCUUCCCGUCCCAGGAGCAGGGGAAGGACUGCCACGUGUCUAAGGAGGAGGCGCUAUGACGCAUCAGAAAGCAGUUUUUGGCAGUCAUGACAGCUGAUGUUCACAGUGACCCCGAACACAUUCAUUUAAAGGGAAGGAAUUAUAAAACUGUGAAGCCACAGAGGAGGGAGGAGGAGCCGAUUCAUCUUUCUCUGACAAAUGGUGAAGGAAUCACACUCCACUGCAGUGACAGUAUUUCCUGCAGACUUUCUGGAGGAAACACAUCUGUACAUCUGCACAACAGAAAAGGCUG
rnacentral:lncRNA from 1 species